rnacentral:lncRNA from 1 species
AUUUUAAAUAUUUGUAAACAAUUUAGACAUCUUCUUUCAGGUGUGGGCGUUCGAGUCUAUUCCACAAAUAGCAAACAUGUAUCAUGCUAUGUUACCUGUCAACAAGCUGCCGAGAAUGUGCCGUUGGAAAUCAACACUUACUCCUAAUUCUCAUGAUAUUGCUAAAGUCUUGGAUGACCCACAAGUGAGUAUAUCUUCUAUAUUGUAAUUACUUUUGCACGUUACCUCAAAUAUCGCUAAAAGGAUUCUUUGUCAAUUAUUUAGCUACAAGUCCGUUGCUCAUUGACGGCUUCUCCCGAUGAGACUGAAC